AUUUACUUUCAUUUUUUUUUCUCAUUUCGCAAAGAUCCUGAGAAAAAAAAAAACUUUUGGUCUCCUCCCUCCAGAUCUCAUCUUCUCUCUUUGUCUCCAGAUUUCAUCUUCCUUCUUUGUAAGCAUUUCCUCUCCUCUCCUCUCCUCUUCCAUCUGAGCAACUAGGGUUUUUUUCUCAGUUUUCUUUCUCCUAAAAGAUGAGUUAAUUUAGUAGAACACGAGCAGGAGUGAUUAUGUUGCUGUAGGGAAAUAGUUUCAAUCGAAAUUUCAAGCUCAUGGCGGUGGCGUCCGCGGCUCGCGUCCCUCUUCUCAGUCGCAGAUCCGAAGCAGUGGUGGCGGUGGUCGUUCGCUUCUCUACAUAGACUCCGUUUGUUCCGCUUCCUCCGGUUCAAUUCGCGGCGGUGAAUGGGUCAUUGUCUACAUCUACACCGCCUAUUCUAGUUAAGUUAUGUUUGUUCUUUUUUUCUCGAAUUCAUGGACAGUGGUUAGAGGAUUUUCACCUAUAAAGAGCUAAUUGGAUUGUUUAAAUUCUUCAGUUAUCAAGGAUUAAGGUGAGUUUAAGGUAGAGAUUGAAUUCAUGGACGGUGGUUUAAAUCAUUAUCCAUGUUGUUGUUAAGUAGCUUAAGGUGAGUUUAAGGUAGAGAUUGAAUUCAUUAGCCGUGUUCACCACCACCAUUUUUGUUGCUCUGGUUGGCUACUAUAUCUCAGAUUCAUACACACGUUAUUUUUUCUUACAUGGGUUCUGGUUUCUUACAAGGAAGAGACCAAAGAUUAAUAUCAGCCUUAGUAAUUGUACUCUCAUGUGUCUCGAUUCAUUGAGAAAGCAGAGAGGAGCUGAAGUCAAAGGGUGUUGAAGAGUCAUUUGCUUUAGCGGGAUCAAUGUUGUGGAAGAAAAGAGUCACAACAAUGGCUUCAAAGCAUCCUGAGGUUAAAUUGGAUCAAAUGCAGUGUUUCUUGGAGCCAUUGCAGGUACAAAUGGGAUAACAAUGAAAAGCAUCUGAGGCCUGAGAAGGGGUUACUUCAGUUCAGCUUCGUGCAGGUCUCAAAGUCUUUGCAAAUCUGUGACCUGCUACAGUUUUGCCACAGAAACUUAGAGUUUUCUGAAAAAACUCAGUUCAUCAAAUUGCUUAGUUCCAGGACGCAGACAAAUCUGGGCUGUCCACAAUUGGAGAAUAGGUUCGAUUCUUGGCUCAAAAAGCAAAAGAAAACAAAGAAUCAAUGGUGAGUGAGCAAGAACCUAAAAGAGAGAGCUGAAGAGAUUAGAGACUAGACGAGAGGUUUUGAUGAGUUUGAUAAGAUUUUGUUUGGAUUAGUCUUUUGUAAGACAAAUAUGUUUUAAAUGUAUCUUUAUGAAAGAAUAUAUAUUUAAAUAUAUUGUUUAAUCAAAUUUAA